GUAAGCUGGAGGCCGGGAGCCUGGGUAUGACGGGGGGGGCUGGGGUGGGGCGGAAGUACAGUGGGGAAAGGGCGCGUAGGUGUCCGACGAAGUCAGACGUUAAAUCCCGCUGCGUAACCGGGGAACUGCGUCUGAUACUGGAUGGCUUGAGGUUGGGAGAGGGAUGCGGAAUUCCAGGUGUAGCGGUGAAAUGCGUAGAUAUCUGGAGGAACACCGGUGGCGAAGGCGGCAUCCUGGACCAAUUCUGACGCUGAGGAGCGAAAGCCAGGGGAGCAAACGGGAUUAGAUACCUGAGUAGUC
rnacentral:rRNA from 1 species